UAUUGCACAAUGGGCGCAAGCCUGAUGCAGCCAUGCCGCGUGUAUGAAGAAGGCCUUCGGGUUGUAAAGUACUUUCAGUUGUGAGGAAGGGUGUGUAGUUAAUAGCUGCACAUCUUGACGUUAGCAACAGAAGAAGCACCGGCUAACUCCGUGCCAGCAGCCGCGGUAAUACGGAGGGUGCGAGCCCCCCCUCGGAAUUACUGGGCGUAAAGCGCAUGCAGGUGGUUCAUUAAGUCAGAUGUGAAAGCCCGGGGCUCAACCUCGGAACUGCAUUUGAAACUGGUGAACUAGAGUACUGUAGAGGGGGGUAGAAUUUCAGGUGUAGCGGUGAAAUGCGUAGAGAUCUGAAGGAAUACCAGUGGCGAAGGCGGCCCCCUGGACAGACACUGACACUCAGAUCGAA
rnacentral:rRNA from 1 species